rnacentral:lncRNA from 1 species
AUUUGGUAGAUGUCUCUUCAACUCUUUUUACAUAUACAAUAUACAUAUAUAUUUAUAUACGUAUAUAUUUUACUUUCACUAGUUUUAUUUUAAAAGGUUUUGGGUUUUUUUUAAUGUCUGCUUUAAUCAUUCUUGCAGUGACGUAAGAAAAAAACAUACUAUAGGACAGAGUUAAUACAAAAGGUUUAAGUAUCGUUAGUUUAGUUUAAUAAGUCCGGAUCUCACUUAACACGUGGCUAUCACAGUAAUUAACGGCAGUGAAUAAUUAACUUAUCUCGAAUUAUUACUUACACUUCAUUAAACAAUUUGGUCGUCAAUGGAUUUUCUGUGUAAGUGCUAAUGUUGAUUUGUAAGAUUAGUGUACAUACUGUUGUUGACCAUAAACCUAUCUUCUAACCUCCACCUUCACGUAAUGUUUUCUCAACAGCCCAAACCAAACAAUUUCUCCGACUCUACCUCUCUAUCAAAGGAAAAUCGAAACAGUGAAACAUUUUACUAAGUGAAAGAUCAAAUCUAUAACUAACUUUGCAAUCCAUAGUAAGUUCCACUUAAAAAGACCAGGUUUAUAUUUUUAGAAGUGUUUACAAAUGUUUGAAAUAUCCCAUUAACCCCUCCAAUCCAAUCCUUAAUCACUACUUUUCACAAAGACACGGAAAACUAUAAGUAAGAUAUAUUAUUAAAAAUUCAAUUAUAUUCAUACAUUGCCAUUUAUAUUUACUAUACCUGCAUUUUAUUGCAGGUUUGAAAUAUAUUUAUUUACUGAUUAUUGGAGAUUACUGUGUCCGAGUUGAGGAGCCCGAUCCACCAACCAACUUAACAAAUUAUUGUCGAUUCCCACCUACGAUACCACAAUAAGUAUCAGGGAAAAGUUUCCAUCCGUCUGGAUCUCAUUUCCCUGUAGCGCCCCCUCUACCUCCUCAUGUUAAGAGACUUCUAGAUCAUUUGAAGAAAGGUUUGAAUGAAUGCUUUGAAUGAUAGAGGAGUAGGUUUGGAACUCACUGAGCCUAAUUUUCAAGAUGAUCAAAAGCAAUUAUUAGCAGAG